GGGAUGGGGAUGGUGGCAGGGACAGAGCUUUGGAGGGGGCAGAAACGGGGGUCAGGGAGGGGGGACAGAGGGAUUGGGAUGGGGUCAGGAUGGAGAUGGGGUUCAGGGAUGGGGGACAGAGAGGUGGCAAUGGGGGGGCAGGAAUGGGAUCAGGACAGGGUUCUGAUGGGAUCAGGGUGGGUUCUGAUGGGAUCAGGACGGGGAUCUGAUGGGAUCAGGACGGGGUUCUGAUGGGAUCAGGACGGGGUUCUGAUGGGAUCAGGGUGGGUUCUGAUGGGAUCAGGACGGGGUUCUGAUGGGAUCAGGGUGGGUUCUGAUGGGAUCAGGACAGGCUCCGAUGGGAUCAGGGUGGGUUCUGAUGGGAUCAGGGUGGGUUCUGAUUGGAUCAGGGUGGGUUCUGAUGGGAUCAGGACGGGUUCUGAUAGGAUCAGGAUGGGUUCUGAUGGGAUCAGGACGGGCUCUGAUGGGAUCAGGACGGGCUCUGAUGGGAUCAGGGUGGGUUCUGAUGGGAUCAGGGUGGGUUCUGAUGGGAUCAGGGUGGGUUCUGAUGGGAUCAGGGUGGGUUCUGAUGGGAUCAGGAUGGGGUUCUGAUGGGAUCAGGACGGGUUCUGAUAGGAUCAGGACGGGGUUCUGAUGGGAUCAGGGUGGGUUCUGAUGGGACCAGGAUGGGGUUCUGAUGGGAUCAGGGUGGGUUCUGAUGGGGUCAGGAUGGGGUUCUGAUGGGACCAGGACGGGGUUCUGAUGGGAUCAGGGUGGGUUCUGAUGGGAUCAGGACGGGCUCUGACGGGAUCAGGAUGGGGUUCUGAUGUGAUCAGGGUGGGUUCUGAUGGGAUCAGGGUGGGCUCUGAUGGGGUCAGGAUGGGGUUCUGAUGGGAUCAGGACGGGCUCUGAUGGGAUCAGGAUGGGUUCUGAUGGGAUCAGGGUGGGGUUCUGAUAGGAUCAGGGUGGGUUCUGAUGGGACCAGGACGGGGUUCUGAUGGGAUCAGGACAGGGUUCGGGCUUGGGGCGGGGGUCCAGGGCCGGGGCAGGAAGGGGGGGUCCCUGCGUCUCCCCUACGCUAGUGACACAAACCACUUCAGAGUAUUUCCACGUGAUGCACAAACAAGUCAAAAAUUCACUGAUCCAAAUCCAACGUGCAAACAGAAAAGGGCCGGGGGGGCACCCAGCGCCCCCGGCC